rnacentral:rRNA from 1 species
CCAAGGAAACGGGUGGGCCCUGGAAAUCCUGUGGAGGGAGGAUUCAGUUUGUAGUCGCCAUCGGGUUGGUCGAAAGUAAGAGAAGGGCUUCCCGAGAACGGGGCCGUCCGAUCGCCAGCUUUGGUCAGGACAGACGCAUUUGACUCCCUCCCCGAGGACGCCGCAGCCCGCGGGGAAGUGCAAACGUGGCGGCCUUAAAGGCGGGAGAUGGCAGGUGGCCGGUGGCGAGCCUCGUGCUCUUCGCCGGUUGUUAGCCGUCCCGUCGGUGGCACGCCUCCCCGCGGAGGUAUCAUGACGUCCUUCGGGGCGUCUGGCAUCUCCUCCUCCAUAAAAAGGAAACCCGGACUUACGGUGGCGAGCGAAGGCAACCGCGCGGCCGCACUCCUCCAGAGUGGGCCAGCGUAAGGUCGGCGCCGGCGGCCGCCGAGGACCGGUUGGAGGUUGGAGGUUCGCGGCGAGUAGGUCGGUCACCCACCCGACCCGUCUUGAAACACGGACCAAGGAGUCUAACAUGUGCGCGAGUCAAUGGGUCUUGAACAAGCCCAGCGGCGCAAUGAAAGUAAAGGUCGACUCCAGUCGGCCGAGUCGGGAUCCCGAGCCUCACGCCGGGCGCACCGACGACCCGUCUUAUGCCGUUUACGGCUUGGGCGGAGUGUGAGCGUACACGUUGGGACCCGAAAGAUGGUGAACUAUGCCCGGACAGGACGAGGCCAGAGGAAACUCUGGUGGAGGUCCUGCAGCGGUC